UACGAAGGGGCUAGCGUUGCUCGGAAUCACUGGGCGUAAAGCGCACGUAGGCGGAUUGCUAAGUCAGGGGUGAAAUCCUGGAGCUCAACUCUAGAACUGCCUUUGAUACUGGCGAUCUUGAGUCCGGGAGAGGUGAGUGGAACUGCGAGUGUAGAGGUGAAAUUCGUAGAUAUUCGCAAGAACACCAGUGGCGAAGGCGGCUUACUGGUCCGGUUCUGACGCUGAGGCGCGAAAGCGUGGGGAGCAAACAGG
rnacentral:rRNA from 1 species